rnacentral:rRNA from 1 species
UACGGAGGGUGCAAGCGUUAUCCGGAAUUACUGGGUUUAAAGGGCGCGUAGGCGGCUUUGUAAGUCAGGUGUGAAAGCCCGCAGCUUAACUGCGGAACUGCCUUUGAUACUGCAGUGCUUGAAAGAGGUUGAGGUCAGCGGAACGUGACAUGUAGCGGUGAAAUGCAUAGAUAUGUGACAGAACACCAAUUGCGAAGGCAGCCGGCUGGGCCUACUUUGACGCUGAGGUGCGAAAGCGUGGGGAGCGAACAGG